rnacentral:lncRNA from 1 species
AUCGCCAGUGACCAGCACAAUGACGACACAUAGUCAGCCUCUAGAAGGGCUCGUUGACCAAAGUGUGUUGCCGAUGCCUCACAGAGCAGUGUCCAGGGCUGUGCGAACCCCUCCCAGGGGCAAGGCCUCAGGCAGAGUGGAGAGGGCGGGGCCCCUUCAGAGCCGCUCCCGGCUCCUCCCUUCUCAUCAGUUCAUUGCAGAGGAGACAGAUCCUCAUCACCAGAGGGGACACGCGGAAGCCAUACAGGACACCACCCCUGAAGUGUUACAAACACCCUGCCUGGCCUUCCUAAGUCCUGCAGCCCUGGCCUGGGGACUCCCAGAAACACAAAGACCAGGGAGCGGCUGUGCUCACCAGCCCAGGGCUCACGCCGACGUGCUCUGGAGAACAAACUGCGCUGGUUUGGUGACCGAGGUGGGGAAGGAACCUGGCAGGGUGGGUGGCAGCGGGGAGGAACAGGACUGAAGCCACUUGUCCCUGUUUGCUCAUGGAUGAGCCAGAAACCCUCUGAACUUACUGGAAGGCUCCUGGGACCUUGUUUUCCUGAAACGGUACAAAAACAGGUUGGACCUCUCCAAUGUUUACUUGAGGACGUAAUUACUUAAGUACGAGCUGGGUUGCCUGGCAGGCUGGCAGAGGUAAAGGUGGGGCAGAGGCAUCUGCUGCUCACCUGGGCCUGAGAAGUCCUAGGAGGUGCGCGGCCCAACCCAGGACAGAGCAACCCGGAAGAGACUGAGUUGCGGCUGGAAGAGUCCUGGCGGCGGAGUAGGACAGAGUUGGUAGGAAUGCUGUGUGGCUCUGAGCAACUUACUUAACCUCUCUGAACUGCUGUCUUCAUCUGCUAAGUGGAAAUAGCAAUACUUCCCUUGCUAGGUGGUUGGAGGAUUGGCAGUGGUUGCCUGGCAGCCAGCAUUCAGGCAGAGGCUGUUGUUAGUAACAAAGUCCUCAUCUGGUGUUCUGGAGGCCCAGCCACCACCCUCAGUCUCCUUCACAAAUCGAUUCUAUCCCAGCAUGUACUCUCACUGCCGUGCGGCGGUUCCCCCCAGCCUCGCUGCUCCCAGACCUGAACAGCACUGCUUCAAGGCAUCAGGCGAUGUGGGUUGGCUGACACGAAAUGGCCACUGAGGCUGUGGAAACACUCGUAGGUGCUGGGAAAGGGUUCUCCCAGUUCAGCUCUGCCUUGUCAUGACUCAGCUUCCCUCUGCUCUUGUCUUCCUAAGCUCCCAAGGAGCCGCGUUUCUGCCCUGUGCCCUGAGGGCGUCUGGCUGCCUCUUUCAUCGGUCUCUCAUGACCGUCAAGGCUUUGCCGCUUGGCCCCAGUGCUGUGGCUUGGAAAGAAAUACAGACCUUGGUGCACUGAAAUUCCUGGUGAGGCUCAGGGCCACGCAGACGGCCCUGAGCAUGUUCAAAUGUGUUUUUAGGUUAACAUCAAAAUGACAGCACCCCAUUUUUAAAUUUUCAAGAAGAUGCUGCUCCCAGUCUGAGAAAGUCUGGACGGGGGUCACCAGGACCUGGCGCAGUCCCCCCAGCCUCUUCCUCACGUGUGACGCCUCUUGUUGCUGACCCUCCGGGCUCACAGGAGGAGCGGUGGGUGUGGACCCAGAGCCCUCAGCGGUGGCUGGAGGUGGACCGCACACAGCGGCUGGAAGCUUUCCUCCUCCCUGUCUCCAAGCCCUUCACAAUGACAUUGCAGCUCCCUCCUCAAGGGGCGGGGCGCCUGUUCCCUGCCCUUGAUCCAGGUGCGCCUGAGGCUUGCUCUGACCAGAGAACGCAGUGGACGUGAGGGUGCCGGGUCUGAGCCAGGCCCCUGAGGCUGGUGGGCUUUCCCUCUCUCAUUCGCCCCUCAAUUCCUCCCUUUAAACCCAGAGUCCUUGGUUUUGGGAAGGUGGCUCAGGUCCAGAGCUCCUCCCACGAGGGGAAAGCACCCUGGCACCGUGUCGAGUGGAGAGAAGGUACAGAGCGGGGAGAGACACAGGAAGUCUGCAGGCCUCCUGUCCCCAGGGGGGAAAGGAUGCAGAGGCUGACCGUGCCUGCCUCCUCGUUGAAGAAACUCCAGCAAGCUGGGAGACUGAAAUUACCUGCUGGCCUCAGCGAAGCCCCAGGACAAGGACAGCGUGCCUUGUCCCCUGCAUGAUGGCCGGGCAGGGAAGGCUCCUCUGGUAGCAGCUGCUGUCAAACUGUGUCAUUCUGCAGAAGGGACACUCCAAGCUCAUAGAUGCUAUGCCACGUCCUCAAGCCAAGAGGAAGCAAAGGGCGGGCUGGGGCCAGCUCCCGACCAGACGUUCUCAGCCUCUAUCAGGACAUGUGCGGCCCUGCCUCCCACUGCUCCCUACAAAAUCCAGAUCCGCUCACAUCUGAGAUUCUCUCCUAAGGGUGGAGCUCCGUGAGAGCUGCAGUCAAGUCUGCUUCACUUCUCCAUGUUCCUGGUGUCCAGCACUCCGUCUGGCCAGAGGAGGAGCCGGGGGGGGCUCUGAGGGAGCUUUCCCGACUCCCUCCCACCGAGUGCAGGCUCAAAGUCUUCUGUCGCAGCAUGUGUACCUCUCUCAGGCAGUACUUUAAGCAUGUGUAUAAGUGAGUAUUCAUAUACAUAUGUGAAUAUUCCUAUGUAUGUGUGUGUGUGUGCGCACGCCCAUCUUUGUCUACUGGAUUGUGAGUUCCUUCAUGACAUGGGCUGUGAGAUAGAUGCUAGAGAGAUAGAUAGAUAGAUAGAUAGAUAGAUAGACAGAUAGACAGACAGUGGGUAGGUAGAUGGAUAGGUGAGUGGGAGGAUAGACGGAUGUAUAGGUAGACAGACCCAACCCUCCAUCCCCUCUGACUGGGAGGGUGAUUUAUUCGUAACGGUCUCAGCUACUGUGGGAGGCAGGCAGGCAGGCAGAAUCCAGGACAAUCCUUGUCCCGAGGAGAACAGAGGAGCUGGGGGAAGACACUACGCAGCGAAGGCUCAGGGCUUGAAACUAGAGGGCCCAAUGUGUUCUUUGCCAUUCAGUUUCUCUGAGCUUACGUUGUCCUCUCUGUAAAAAGCAAAUGAUAACAGCAGGGUCUGCCUCUCGGGGAUAAAUGGAGCAUCAGCAUAAAAGAAUAUGCUUCAGAGGAACACAGAGUGGACAGGCCCCGGGCCUUGAAUCAGGCAGAGACGCUCAGGUACCACUGGAUGCGGAGGAAACUGCUUGACCCCCCCUAAGCCUCAGCUGCAAACUUGGGAGAGGAAGUUGCCCCUUGUCGGGGGUCUGUGACUGUGAAACAAGGCUCCGUAUGUGGAAGCAGGCGCUCAGCAGCGAUGGCCACCAAUGCUGCUGCUGUCAGUAACCUACUUCAGAAGGCCUGGCCCCGACCACUCGCAGUUUGCAAGGUCAGAGAGAUGCUGUGGAAACACCAGAGCGUGCAGGGCGCAGAGAAGGCGUAUGGUGACAAAGGCUCCCACAGGAGAAUGCGGGGCUCAGGGAGGACCGGAGUCAAGGAGAGCCCCUUAGAGGAGGUGGAGAGGCCGUGGGAGGAGAACCCUCCUCCCCAGACUCCCGAUAAAGGAGAGGUGUGGGAGGAGAGGUGUUGGCAAGGCGAGAAGAAGAGAGAUGUUUUAAAAACAAAAAAAAUGACAGUUCUUGGGGAAUUGCCAAUAUUUACUAACCUGUGGGCAUCUUCCCCCAGGAAGGGGCUGGGGGCCGGGCUGCUGGAGACAGCUGCUCACACAAACAGCGGAGGGACCUGGCUUCAGCUGUGCGUGUAGACCUGGACUGGGAACCGGAUCCACAUGAUGGUGGGAAAAAACAGUCUGGGGGCUCCGCUGCCCUGGGCAGCUCAAAGCUGGCACAGAGAGCCGGGAGGCCCGGGGUCCCGGGUUCUCCCGUCUAGUUGGGCCUCUGGUUCCUGCCGGCCUGAGAUAAUUGGCUUCUCUCUGCCCACCUGUCCAGGUUGGGAGCGCCCAGCUCCACCUCCUGUCCUUGUGUUGGGAGCGACUGUCCUGUCUGCUCGGCCCUCUCAGAGAAACUGGCCACCCUCAGUCCCUCUACCAAAGCCUCCAGGGCUUGAGGAGAGGCUGGUCCUCCUCACCCACAUUCCCUGGCCCGUGGGCCAGAGUUGAAGGGACCAGGGAGGGCCUGACCCAGGCAGCUGGUCCAAAGGUGGCCGGUACCCAACAGUGGCCAAUUAGAUGCUCUUUUCCAUGGAUCUGAACUUGGAAAGAAUUUUCAAGGUCUCAGAGGACAUGAAAGGAGUGGCUGCCUGUGCAGCAAAGGGCUGAGUGCGGGGGCAGGGGGGCUUGCAGAGGCUUUCUAUGGUAGAAAAGAGAGUGGAAGACGAAGAGGUGCUGAAGGAGGCAGGAAGGAAGGCGAGGAGGAGAAAGAGAGAGACCAACCACCCUAAAAUCCCCCCAGAGGGUCCCAGUAUCAGUCCCCACAAAUGCUUCCACUAAAUCCUAUGCUUCUUUUAUUUAUGGACUUUAUUUUUUUUCAUUUUUUUGGUGAGGAAGAUUGUCCCUGAGUUAACAUCUGUUGCCAAUCUUCCUCUUUUUUUUUUCCUCCCCAAAGCCCCAGUGCAUAAUUGUAUAUCCUAGUUGCAAGUCAUUCUAGCUUUUCUGUUUGGGAUGCCACCACAGCAUGGCUUGAUGAGUGGCAUGUAGGUCCAUGCCCAGGAUCCGAACUGGCAAACCCUGGGCUGUCAAAGCAAAGCAUGUAACCUUAACCACUUGGCCAUGGGGCCGGCCCCUGGACUUUAUUUUUUUAGCCUUUUGUAUUUUGAAAUAUAUAGAGAAAUACACAUAAAAAAAUAACCAUAGAGCUUAACAAACUAUCAGUGAGCUAAAGUAUAGGCCAGUUCGAGAAUCGGGAUUACAGCUCUUCUAAAGCUCUUUCUCUCUCCACCUCCUUCCCCCCAAAGUUGGCCAGAAUCAGGACUCAUGGCUUUUCUUCAUAAUCUUAUACAGCCAGCUAAGCAUGUGACCUUAAAGACUAUGGUUUAAUUUUGCCAGCUUUUAAACUUGACGUAAAUGGAACAUACCUACGUGUUCUUUUGAGUUCAGCUUCUCCCAUUUAAUGUAACAGUUUUUGAGAUUGAAUCACAUGUUGCCUGUAGUUUAGAUCACCGGUUCUCAGUGCUGUAGAUUACUGCAUGGUACACCACACUGCUAUGGUCGCAUCCAUUCUGCUAUGGGCAGACACAAAUAACUCUCCCCGGCCUGCCACCUGUGUCCUUUAGGUGUCCUGAGAAGACCUCUGAUUUUUACCACCAAUAAGCAACUUGAACAUGGGGAAACAGCACUCGACUUGAAAAUGGGGAAAUCCAGAGAAAUCUGAGUCCUUAUUAGGGACUGGAUCCUGGACCUCUCAGAGAACAGAGGUUCAGAUUCAUUUCACUUUCUGGGCCAAGAAAUCAACACAGAUUUUUUUGAGCAUACAGCGUCUGAAAGGAAAGGAGGGCAGGCCCCGAUGCGCAGGAGGCCACGGAAUACGGUGCCUCCGGCUCUGGGAGCGGAGAGGACUGCCAGGAGGAAGCAGUCUUUGGGAUGGUCUGAGAAGGAGAAUUCGUUCAGAGUAAACUGGAAAUUAUUUGAUUCAGUCUUUUGUACAGAAACCCUCCCAACGUCUGAGUCUCCUGGCUUCCUUGUCUCCCUAAGCCAGGUGGGCAUGGGGACCUCCUCCAUCCCCGUCCAAAGUAGCACCUGGCUCACACCUGUGUGGACGUUGAAACACACUGUCUGAACCUGGAGAGCAAUGGGGACCAGUAGGAGGGGAUUGCACAGGACAGGAGCUUGUCACAGAGCAGCCUCAGGAUGGAAGGAGAUGUACGAAACAAACAAGUGACCCAACUUCCCAUAACAGCAGGAGUUCUUGUGCAUGGGCACCUGGGCAUCGGGCUUCCAGUGACGGGAACCAGAGCGUGGUCCAGGUAGGUCACGGCCCCUGAGGCUGGGCUCUGCUGAUGCUGUGUGUGAAUGCGUGGGAUGCGGUCUGUACAUCCACAGGACAGGGACUUGGACAACCCAUGUUACAAGGGGUGGCAUUCCAGCAGGGCCAGAGGGAUCAAUUCAAGACAUGAUCUGGAUGUGGGCCCCACCCCUGACACUGGCUUGUUGAGCAAUGGUUCGCCUCUCUGGGCCUCGGCUCCUCUAUCUGUAAAGUGGGAGCUAGACUAGAUCUGUAGUCAUUCAUCCUCCAAUGUUGUAUGCUUCUGCACAUGCUCCGGGGAGGAGAGGCCCUCAUAAAUGAGAGUGUACACUGGAAGAAGACUGUUACGAUCAGGGCCAGCAUUAUAAACGAGAGCCCUUCUGGAGACCCACUGGCUGGCAAGGGUUUGGUUGGAGACAGCCCGCGUCUCCGUGGCCUGAUCGUAGUCAAGCCCGCAGGUGGCUUUAUUGCUUUAAGGAGACACACACCCAGAUGUGUUGGACACCUUACUGCACAACUUACUCUUUCAUCUCAUCACCAAGAACCUCUUUCCAGGGGAACACGGAUAGCUCAAACUCAUAACCCAUGGAACAGAUAUAAUAGUUCAUCCAACUAGCCCCUGUUAGUGCACAUGCAGGUCAUUUACAGGUUUUUUUUGCAAACAGUGAUGCGACAGACACCCGCGUACACACAUUCUCCCUUACCGCAGUUUUUAAUACACAGGUCAGAUCAUGUCACUGGCCUCCUCCAAGAUAAACACGCACUCCUUACCCUGGGUUUCCAGCAUGACCUGGCCCCGCUGCCCUCUCUGAGCUCACUUUGGAGCACCCUCCCGUGCCCAUUAGCUCCAGUUACGCUGGCCUGGUUGCAGGGCCUUGAACUCAUCAAAGCCAAUCAGCCUUGAGACCGCACAGCUGGUCCCGCCCCUGGAACGCUCUUCCUGGAUCUGCAAGGACUCCUUCCCCACCCACCGUUCAGAGCUCAGGCUGCGGGUCACCUCCUCUGAGGGGCCCUCCUGCUCAGCCAGUUUAAGUGGGCACCCUCACUCUCUAACAUCAUCUCAUGUCAAGUCUCUGCACAGCCUGUUGGGGGUUGAAUUGUGUCCUCUAAAAAGAUAUGUUGAUUUCUUAACUCCCACUACCUGGGGAUGUGACCUUAUUUGGAAGUAGUCUUUGCGGAGGUAGUCAAGUUAAGAUGAAGUCAUACUGGACUAGGAUGAACCUUAAUCCAGUUGCCGACAUCCGUAUAAGAGGAGGGACAUCUGGACAGAGAGACACAGAGAGGAGAAGGCCAGGUGAGACAAAUUGGAGUGACACGUCUACAAGCCAAGAGACGCCAAGGAAUGCUGGCAGCCACCAGAAGCGAGGAGAGAAGCAACAAACAGAUUCUCCCUCAGCCUCCAGAAGGAACUGGCCCUGCCCAAACCUUGAGUUUGGACUUCUGGCUGCCAGAAUUGGGGGGGAAUAUAUCACUGUCAUUUUAAGCCCCCCAGUUUGUGGUAAUUUAUUAUAACAGCCCUAGGAAACUAACACACAGCCUUCAUCCCCACCAGCACACUUCGAGUCUCUUUCUUUCUUUCUUUAUUUGUGGUCUGCUUCUCCCACAAGAACGUCAGCACCAUGAGAGCGGGGGCCUUGUCUGUCCUGUUCAUGGCCACGUCCUCAGUGCCUGACACACUGACGGUUUUUGAAUAAAGUGACAGUUUGUUAAUUUUUGAAGGAUACAGAUUCCUGUAAGUGGAUUGCAGAGUCAAAAUGUAAGUGCGUCUCAAUUCUGAUAGACAGUCAGAUUCCCUUCCCCAAAAUGUAGCUGUUGCCCUCCUCCGGGCAGGACAUAAGAGUGCCCGUUCUCACAUCCUGUUCAGCCCUGGACAGUGUCACCCUGUUUAAUAUUUGCCAUCUGGAGGGUGAACACGGGAUCUCAUUGCAAUUCUAGCUUUCGUUUUCCUGACUACUGGGGAAGGUGACCAUCUUUUCAUAGAGUCAUGUGCCAUUUGCACAUUUCCUGUGAGUUACUUGUUCCUAACAUUUUCCCAUUUUUCUAUUGGCAUGUGUGGCAGGCAGAAUAACGACCCACCUAAACAGUCCACGUCCUGAUCCCCGGAACCUGAAUCUGCAGCCCCAGGAUUGGCUCAGGGAGUCAGCCCCAGGCUACGGACGGACGGGGUGGGAGCAGGAGGCUGCAGGCUGGCUCUGCAAUCUGUUGGAUCACUCACUCUGGGGGAAGCCGUGUCAUGAGCAGCCCCAUGGAGAGGUCUUUGCGGCAAGGAACUGCUGGCUGGUGCCGACAACCACAUGAGUCAGCUCGGAAGUCAAUUCUCCAGCUCCCGCUGAGCCUUGAGAUGACCAUGACUCUGUCCCACAGCUGGACACAACCUGAGAGAUGCCGAGCCAGAACGCCCAGCUAAGCUGCUCCUGAAUUCCUAACCCUCAGAAACUGUGAGAUAACAUUGUGUUGUUUGAAACCAUUAAGUUUUGGAGUAAUUUGUUAUGCAGCAAAAGUAAGAAAUAUCGGAAAUCCUUUUCCUUCACAGUUUUGAAAGCUUUGCUCUAUGGCUAAAGCUCUAGCUCUCCAGCGUUUCUGUUGAGAAAUCCAAAACAAUUCUGAGCCCGAUUCUUUGAACAUGACCCAUUUCCCCUGGAAGUUGUGGCACGUUCUCUUCAGCCCAUCUGUUCUGAGACUGGACAGUCAUUCGUCAUGUUGCGUCUCCAUGUUCCAUUGUGCUGGGCCCCUGGUGGGCUGCUUCAGUGUAGAAAUUCAUUUCUUUCACUUCUGGGACUUUUCUUGAAUUAUUUCAUUGACAAUUUACUCCUCUUCAUUUUCUCUAUUCUCCAUUCCUAGAAUUCUUUUUGUUCAUAUUUUGGAUCCGCUGGACCAGUCCUUAUUUUCUUACUCACUGCCCUCUUUUCCUCUAUUUUCCAUUUCUGUGUUUUUUGUCUUGCUUUCUGGGUCAUUUCUUUAUCCUCCAAUCUUUUAGUAAAGCUUUUUAUUUUCGUUUUUAUUCUGUGUUCUCUUCUUUUGUUGUUUUUACGGAGUGUUCCCUUUUUAUAGCAUCUUGUUCUUAUGUCAAGGAUGCAGUAUCUUCUAUUAUCACUCUAGAAAUAUCAAUACUAGAGUUUUAGGGGAACUUUUUGGUUUGUUUCUUCAAAAGUCUUCUUCCUCUGCAUAGUCACUGUCUUUUCAAGUUGUUUUCUCUUGUUUAUUUUCUUUGAUCUCUCUCCUUCAUGUGGAUGUCUGGCAACCUUGGUUCCUCUGUUGAUAUUUAAGAGUGGAGCACUAAAGAAUUGACUGGAAGCUCUUAGGCUUUAGGGGGUUGAAUUUGUUCCCCUGAGCCUCACCUUGGGUGAUGUGGAUGGACCACUGUGGAUGGACUGUUGGCCCUUGUUCUGGCUGUCCAUCACUGUGUCCAAAGCUUUGUGGCUUCAAACUACAGCACUGGAAUUGCUCACCAGUGUGCCAUCAGGACAGUGCUCAGUGGGGACAGCUCGUUUCUGCCCCAUUCAGCAACAACUGACAUAGCUUGAAGGCUGGGGGAUGAAGGCUUGCUCACUUGUCUGGCAUCUGGGCUGGGGAGACCCAAACAGGUGGAGCUCACACAGCUGGGCCUCCUUGGGCUUUUCUCCAUCUCUGUGUGCUCUCUCCAGCAUGGUGGCUCCAGGGUAGGUACAUUCCCUACAUGUUGGCUCAGGGCUCCCAAAACACUUGCCCAAGAGAAACAGCGAGCCAGGGCAGAAGACGUAUCACUUUUUAUGACCCAGCAUUGGAGGUCAUAUCAUUUCUUUCCCUAAAGCAGUCACAAAGGCCCACCCAGGCUUAAGGGAGGGAGAAUAGACCCCACCUCCUGAUAGGAGAAGUGUCAAAAUUCUGGAAGAGCAUAUGAGACCGGAGAUAUUGUUAUAGCCAUUUUUGAUACAAAGUAUCAUAAUACUUAAGUACACUGUGUGCUAGAAAAUUCGUUGUAUUAGUUCCCUAUUGCUGCCAUAACAAAUAAUCACAAGUUUAGUUCUUUUUUUUUUUUAAACUCUGACUUUAUUUUUAUUUAUUCUUUUUUUUAAGAUUUUUAUUUUUUCCUUUUUCUCCCCAAAGCCCCCCGGUACAUAGUUGUAUAUUCUUCGUUGUGGGUCCUUCUAGUUGUGGCAUGUGGGACGCUGCCUCAACGUGGUUUGAUGAGCAGUGCCAUGUCCGCGCCCAGGAUUCGAACCAACAAAACACUGGGCCACCUGCAGCGGAGCGCGUGAACUUAACCACUUAGCCACGGGGCCAACCCCUCUUUUUUUAUUUUUUAAAGAUUUUAUUUUUUCCUUUUUCUCCCCAAAGCCCCCCGGUACAUAGUUGUAUAUUCUUCGUUGUGGGUCCUUCUAGUUGUGGCAUGUGGGACGCUGCCUCAGCGUGGUUUGAUGAGCAGUGCCAUGUCUGUGCCCAGGAUUCAAACCAACGAAACACUGGGCCGCCUGCAGCGGGGUGCACGAACUUAACCACUCAGCCAUGGGGCCAGCCCCUAGUUCUUUAAAAACCACAAAUUUAUUGUUGUACAGUUCUGGACUUCAGAACUCCAAAAUGGAUCAGAAGUCCAGUGGGCCAAAUCAAGGGCUUGGCGGAGCCACACUCCCUCUCGAGGCUGCAGGGGAGAAUCCAUUUCCUUGUCUUUUCCUGCUUCUAGAAGCCGCCUACCUUCCUUGGCUUGUGGCCCCUUCCUCCAUCUUCACAGCACAUCACUCCAACCUUUUCUUCCAUUGUCACCUGCAAAGUCCAUUUUGCCCUGUAAGGUCCCAUACUCACAGAUUCUGUGGACUAGGAUGUGGACAUCUUUGGGGGGACAUUAUUCUGUAUACCAUAAUCAUGCACGUGGAGCCACUCAUUGCCUAGUGAUUUUGCAGUUAAUCAAUUAGUGAUUCGUGCGUAUCUUUCACACCUGGCAGAGUGCUCCAGUGGACACAAGCACCCUUCAUCCUUAUUCCUGGAGUGCCUUAUACCCUCCAGCUGGAAGCUUCCUUUGCAAGGCACAACCCAACCCUGGGUUUGCAGAAGCUCCUGACUGGCAUCAGCUCUAAACACCUUCCUCCUCAUACAUCAGACGGCUCGCUGAUCCCAGAAUUCUGAGCAAAUACAGUUCCACGUUCUCUUGCGAGCCUUCCCCAAUGCAGAGAAGCUAUCUGACACCAUGGAAAGAGCUCAGUUCAUACGUCUGGUGAAUACUUGGGCAACACUCUGACUCUCUCUAGACUUCAUUCCCCUUGGCUUUAACCUGGGAGGUGACACAGAUGAGAGGAGACACGUGAUCAGAGCCAAGUCCCACCUGUGUUUAAACUCAACUCGGUAGAUAAGCUCCUGAUGGACAGGUCAGAGAGGUGACAGUACAAGGGAGGCAGACGGAGUGCAGCAGGACAGGAGAGAGCCUUUCAGGAGCACGCUGCCUAGUAUCCACCCGCCGGGCUUCAGGCGGGCUGGGCCGCUCCCACGGUGCAGCCCCACCUGGACUCUGAAGUCCUGACCUCCCAUGCUCACCUCGCCACCUCCCACUCUUCCAGCCCUCCGCCACCUACUAAGUCUGCUCCUCCAGCUUGUCAAGGACGCUCAUUUCAUCUUUCUUUUCUAUAAUGAGAAAUUUCAAAACUACAGAACAGUGUAGAGAGCAAAAUAGCACACAUCCAUUUACCACCUGCUCGGUAGUGAUAAUUUUAACGAAGUUUGCUUCCAAUUUUUUUUUAAAGGCAUGAAAGCCUACAGGUAUAAUUGAAGUCCCAUGUGUUUGCCUUCUCAGUUCCUUUUCCCUUCCUAAGCUUAAUUAACUCUUUCCCUGCUAGAGGAAAGCACCAUCUCGACUUUGCUGUGUCCACGGUUUUAUUCUUCCCACACAUGUGUUCACCCAUAAAUAAUAGAUAACACCAUUCUACGUGUUUCAAAGAUUACAGACAUGAUCCAAAGCUACGUACAAACUCAAUGCAAUCCCUAUUAAAAUUCUAAGAGCAUUCUCCACAGAAAUGGAAAAGCUGAUCCUCAGAUGCAUAUGGCAUUGCAAGGGACCUCCAAUAGUCAAAACAAUCCUGAAAAAGAAGAAUUAGGUUGAGGACCCCACACUUUCUGAUUUCAAAACUUACUACAAAACUACAGUAAUUAAAACAUACUGGCCUAAGGAUGAUCAUAUAGACCAAUGGAAUAUAAUAGAGAGCCCAGAAAUAAACCCUCCCAUGUAUGGUCAGUUGAUUUUUGAUAAGGGUGCCAAGAUCGUUCAGUGGAGAAAGGACAGUCUUUCUAACAAAUGAUGCUGGGAAAACUGGAUAUCCCCAUGCCGAAGAAGUUGGACCUCUUACCUAACACUAUACACAAAAAGUAACUCAAUAUGGAUCAAAGACACAAACUUAAGAGCUAAAACUUUAAAAUUCUUCUAAGAAAACAUAGGGGAAAAUCUUCUUGACAUUGAAUUUUGCAACAAUGUCAUGGAUUUGACACCAAAAGUGCAGGUAACGAAAGGAAAAAUAAACUCAACUCCAUUGAAAUUUAGUCGAAGUUUUUAAAUUUGCUGGCAUAAAGUUUUUUGAUAAUAAUCUCUUUUUAUCUUCUUACAUCUGCAGGAUCUUUUUUGUUGCUCAUAUUGGUGACUUAUUUUGUUUUUCUUUUAUCUGGGAGUUUAUCAAUUUCAUCAUUUUUUUAAUAACCAAACUUUUUGCUUUGUUGAUCUUCUCUGUUGUAUAUCUGCUUUGUAUUUCAUUGAUUUGGAUUCCUAUUUUUAUUAUUUCCUUCUUUCUUUUUUCCUUGGGUUUAAGUUGCUGUUCAAAUUUAGAUAACUGUCUUUAAACUAUUUUCUCGUGUAACGUAUGCAUUUAAAGGUAUAAAUUUCUUUCUAAUCACUGCUUUGCCUAUUUGCCUCAGGCAUUUGUAUGCAGUAUUUUGAUUUUCAUUCUGUUCAAAGUAUUUUCUAUUCUCCUGUGUGGUUUCUUCCUUGAGCCACGGGUUAUUUACAAGUGUUCUGUUUCACAUCCAAACGUUUGGGGUUUCUAAGAAUCUUUCUCUUGUUCAUUUCUAGUUUAAUUCCACUUUGGUCAGAGAUCACACCCGGCAUGAUUUCACCUUUGGAAGUUUGUUAAGACUUGCUUUAUGGCCCAGCACAUGUUCUAUUUUGGUAACUAUGCCCUCGAAAAGGAAGUGUGUUCGCCCCUUGCGGGGUGCAGCCCUCUGUAACUGUUUAUUAAGUCAAGUUGAUUCAUUCUGCUGUUCAUAUUUUCUAUAUACUUUUACAUCUUUCAUCUCCUUUUUCUAUCAGUUGCUGAGAGAUUUGUUAAAAAUCUCCAGCUAUGACUACAGACUUGCCUAUUUGUCUCUUUUAUUCUGGAAAUACUCUAUUUCGUGUAUUGUGUAGCUCUGUUAUUAGGUGCAUACACAUUUACGAUUGUUACAUCUUCCGUUGAAUUAACCCUUUCAUCAUUAUGAAACGUCGCUCUUUACUUCCCUUACUACCACUUCUGGCUCUAAGGUCUAUUUUGUUUGAUAUCAAUAGAGCCACACCUUUUAUUUGGUGAGUAUUUGCAUGAUAUAACUUUUAUCAUCUUUUUAUUUUUUACCUUUCUAUGUCCUAUAUUUAAAGCGUAUUUUCUAAAUACCUAAUAGCUUUAGAACCAAACUGUUCAGGGCGGGUAGAGAAAGAAAGGGAAUGGAAAUAGAAGCAUGAAUUGCCCUUAUUUUUGAAGAAAAUUUAUGCUGGCUACACAACUUUUCUUUCUGCAAAGAUGCCAUCCCAUCGUCUUCUGGUUUCAUAGUUACAGUUGACAAAUCAGCCACAACUCAUCGUUGCUACUUUGAAUGUCACGUGUUUUAUCUUUCCGGCUGCUUGUCUUAUUUUCAGUUUGACGAUGAUGUGCCUAUGUGUGAUUUUCUUUGUAUUUCUUUUCCUUGGGAUUGACUGAGCUUUGCGAAUCCGUGAGUUGAUGUCUUUAUCUGAUUUUGAAAAUUCUUGUCCUUUAGCUCUUCAGAUUUCACUUGCCAUAUUCUCUUUCCCUCCUCUGUUUCUGGGAAUCCAGUGAUAUGUAUGUUAGACCUCUGACUGUGUUCCAUUAUCUGUCUUAUACUCUGAUCUGUUAUUUUAAUUGUUUUCUCUCUCUGUGCUUCAGUUUGAGUAUUUUCUAUAUACCUGUCUUUCAGCUCACUAAUCCUAUCAUCUCCUGUGUUUAGGUUGCCAUUAAAUCCACUCAAUGAAUUCUUAAUCUCAGAUACCAAAUUUUUUCAGUUCUUGAAUGUCUAUUUGAAUAUUUAUAAAUUCCAAUUCUCUGUAGAAAUUCUCCAUCUUUUCAUUCAUUUUGUCCAUCUUUUUCUACAUAUUCUUUUUGUAUUCUAUUAUACUAGUUAUUUUUAAAUCCUUGUCUGAUAACUCCAAUAGCUAAGUUAUCUGUGUUGUGAUGGUAGGUUGAACACCUCCAGCCAAAAUUUGGUUCAAACGUCAAGAUUGAUGACAUCACACACCAAGAGAAGAUGAAAAGAUUUAUUAUUUACAUAUGAAGAUUUCUGGGGAGAGCCUGGAAACUUCCCAAGGAGGUCUAAAAAUGGGUUAAGAGAGCAGAGAAAGGAGACUGGCUUUGGGGUCAUUAGAGGGCAGUGUUAAAAUUAAUAAAGGAAAUCUCAAAUAAAAUUGGAGUCAGGAAGGCCUGUAGAGGGAGCUCUCAUGUCCUACCACUCAAUUACCCCAAACAGGAAGAUGUCAAUUACAGACCCCAACAGGAAGAAGCAUCAGUUACCAACCUCAAGAGGAAGAGAUGUGCCUUACAAUCCCAAACAGGAAGUGCAACUACUUUACUACUCCAGUAAGGGGAAGACUUCCUUCUUGCCCAGCAAUAAGCACAACCAAUGGAAAACACUGCAGCCCAGUCAAUGAGAAUCUGUUGUCACUUGAACUAUCUCUCUAUUGCCAGAUGAAAUGCUACCUGAUUCAUGAAUUAUUUAAUAAAGUCAAUUCAAUCUUCGAAUUUGCUCAGUUGAAUUUUGUUUUUUAACAGUGGGGCUGGGGGUAAGAGUUCCCAUGUGUAGACCAGGGCUUGCAAGAUUUGACCUUCCUGCUAAUGCUAAUGAAGGGAGUACCUGGGCUUAUUUAUGAGCUGGACAGAUCUAAGACAGAAGGG